GUGUCGUCAUAGGGAAAGUUGAACAGUUCGGCUCAUUUAUGAGCAUAAGAUGCGAAAAAAGCAGUUAAAACUUCGAUAGUGCAGGUUGUGGAUGAUUCAGCGUGCUAUAUGAUAGUGUGGUACAUCGUAAUAGGAAAGCACGGAAGCUUGUAGCGAGCGACCAAAUGAUGAAAAAGAAAGUCGCCCGUUUAGCGGGACAUGCUAGAUCUGGUUUUCUGGAAAUGAACACCUUCCAGUGCAACGGUAACACAGUCAUCAUAGUUGGAUCAAUUUAAGCAAAAAGUUAAUGUCGUGAAGGACAAAAUGACGACGAAAGGAUAUUCGACAACAGGUAGAACCCUGAGUUAAUCACGUGGAGAGGGCAUCUGUUGAGGCCGCCUCGAAGUGGUCGGUAGUGCAAAAUUUACUUGCUGCAACGAAACGGGCAUCCCGGAACCAUAGCCACAUGGCAAUUUUGAGCUUUCCCCAUUGUCAUGAACGUAAACGAGAGCUUAUUUUCUACAGCUCGUUUGCAGCAUCCUCAGCGAGAUAAAGCUUUCCCUCUAUGACUUCGCCUGAAUAAUCUGCUGAACAGAAUGCGCCGAUCAUUUAGCAUAAACUCGCUUGAUAUGGAUGACGUUAGCCCCUUAGAAUCUCCCUCGUUCUAUCAUCAGCGCCAUCAGACCAACAUUCUCUUCGUAACGUACGUGGAUUGAAGAAUGACGAAGAAAUCGACGAACUCAACCUGUUAAUAUCUUGCGGUUUGGUUAGCGAUCAAAC